rnacentral:rRNA from 1 species
UACGUAGGGUGCAAGCGUUGUCCGGAAUUAUUGGGCGUAAAGGGCUCGUAGGCGGUUUGUCGCGUCGGGAGUGAAAACUCAGGGCUUAACCCUGAGCCUGCUUCCGAUACGGGCAGACUAGAGGUAUGCAGGGGAGAACGGAAUUCCUGGUGUAGCGGUGAAAUGCGCAGAUAUCAGGAGGAACACCGAUGGCGAAGGCAGGUCUCUGGGCAUUAACUGACGCUGAGGAGCGAAAGCAUGGGGAGCGAACAGG